rnacentral:rRNA from 1 species
ACAGGGAUUGCCUAGUAACGGCGAGUGAAGCGGCAACAGCUCAAAUUUGAAAUCUGGCUCUUUCAGAGUCCGAGUUGUAAUUUGCAGAGGGCGCUUUGGCUUUGGCAGCGGUCCAAGUUCCUUGGAACAGGACGUCACAGAGGGUGAGAAUCCCGUACGUGGUCGCUAGCUAUUGCCGUGUAAAGCCCCUUCGACGAGUCGAGUUGUUUGGGAAUGCAGCUCUAAAUGGGAGGUAAAUUUCUUCUAAAGCUAAAUAUUGGCCAGAGACCGAUAGCGCACAAGUAGAGUGAUCGAAAGAUGAAAAGCACUUUGGAAAGAGAGUCAAACAGCACGUGAAAUUGUUGAAAGGGAAGCGCUUGCAGCCAGACUUGCUUGCAGUUGCUCAUCCGGGCUUUUGCCCGGUGCACUCUUCUGCAGGCAGGCCAGCAUCAGUUUGGGCGGUGGGAUAAAGGUCUCUGACACGUUCCUUCCUUCGGGUUGGCCAUAUAGGGGAGACGUCAUACCACCAGCCUGGACUGAGGUCCGCGCAUCUGCUAGGAUGCUGGCGUAAUGGCUGUAAGCGGCCCGUCUUGAAACACGGACCAAGGAGUCUAACAUCUAUGCGAGUGUUUGGGUGUCAAGCCCGAGCGCGUAAUGAAAGUGAACGGAGGUGGGAACCCGCAAGGGCGCACCAUCGACCGAUCCUGAAGUUUACGGAAGGAUUUGAGUAAGAGCAUGGCUGUUGGGACCCGAAAGAUGGUGAACUAUGCUUGAAUAGGGUGAAGCCAGAGGAAACUCUGGUGGAGGCUCGCAGCGGUUCUGACGUGCAAAUCGAUCGUCAAAUUUGGGCAUAGGGGCGAAAGACUAAUCGA